UCUUUUCUUGAUUUUGACAAGUCAGUGUUGACAUCUAUGUUAUUGAAAUUGAUUCAACAGUAUUUUUUCAUCUCUGUAUUUGCCUCCACUUAUUAUCUCUCUGCCUUCUUAGUAUAAGACACAUGAAUUCUGUACCAAGCUUUUGAUCUAUUUACAUUUGAUCUAAUACAGAUUGCUUUUUUCUGAUUGGUUUUGUAUACUUAUACGGGUUGCUUUUCUGGUAAGGUUUUAAAGACAGUAUAUUGUUAUUCUAAUAGAAUUAGAAAUUUCCCAGUAAGCAUAGUUGUUAUACUCUUUGGAUUUCUAUUAUGUCUUGUGGAAUAUCUUGUAUUGGUGAUAUUUGGGUAUUGAUAUUUGUUUUUACUAUGUAUCUGGUGGAUUGAUAUGUGGCCCAGGGAAUGUUGGGAUUCCAAUUGUUUACCUCUUGAGAAGUAAACACCAGAAUUUCAGAUACCUUUUGUAAUUUUCUUUUUUUAGAGAAUUUGGAGUUUAAUAGGAUUGGCUUAUUUAUUUUUGAUUGGCAAUUUUGUAUAUGAUUUUGUAAUUUGUUUGAGAAAUUGAAUAUCCCUUUUUGCAAAAUGAUUAGUAGCUCAAAGCUUGCUCUUGAACAAAACUUAUCAAAUUUCAACAUGCAGAUCCUAAAACGGAGAUGGAAGACACAAACACAGACACAAACAAAUCUGGUUCUUCCUCGCCAAGUGGUUCUCCCUUGAGAACCGGACGUUGUCCCUUGCCGACUUUGCGGUCUCCUUCGCCAUUUUCACGGUCACCCUCACCAUUGUCACCUGUCAGUUCACCCUCAGGAUCACCAUUAAAUGAGAAUCCGAAAUCUCCGACGGUGGACUUAGUAGGAGAAGACUUAGAGGUAGAGGAACAAGAAGGGACAGAGAGAGAGCAAGAG